GUUGCGAUCGUUGGCAGGGGUAAAAUAAAGGAGUGAAAAGUUAUAAUUUAUAGCCCACCAUCAAAUAUCUGUUCCCUUUUCUCCGCAUCGGUUACCCACGGUCAGUUAGAAAGCGGGCGGGUGCGAACGGUGAGCAGCGUAACGAAUGCACGGGUGCUGAGAGAAUGGAUUUCAUGGCGUGUGCAAAGUGAUGAUCGGUCAGUGCGGGAUUUUCACCAUUCCACACCGCGUACCGAAUGCGUUUGUGUUGGUGGCACGCUGGAAGAUCGUCCGAUCGGCGCCGGUAGGUCGGCCUCGGUCCAGUUUGUUUGGUACGUUCUGGUGGGUCGGUUUAUUGUUUCUUCACUCGGGCGAGUAAACAAACCCGCCGCGUGUGUUCAUUUCAGAAAAAGAUCAGAAAGUCCCAACAUUCCUCGCUCACCAUUCAAGCGAACACAACAGAAUGCGUGCGAAUGCUGGCGCGAAUUUGUUACAUUCCGGAAAGUGUCGCACUCGCAACCGACACUCGAUCCAAGACACCGUACCGACGCCUUCCUUCGCCUAGUCUUUCCUGGUCGGAUGCACACGGUGGGAAACUCACUUCACCCAUAAUUAACCCGGCUCAAGAACGCAUCGCCCCACAGUUGUCAAACGCAGUAGCGUGGACCAAUCUUCUUGGGCGAUCGCUACGUUGUGUGCGAUCAUUCUGCAUUGCGGUUUGGCAACUUCUUCGCUCGCUGCACGCUGGGCACGUGACGAAAUGGCUUUUGUAGGUGUGACCACCGAUGCUAGCGCCGAGGAAGGAUGGGAAAGCAAAUAGGAAGAAAAACGGGUUUGCACUACGGUGCAGUCACUUGCCAGGAAGUGGAAUCAGUUCAUCAGCGCGCUAAAUAGACCUAUUUUUAGUGUGAUCCUACACCGCACACUGCGCCACAAUGCACGUUGGUGGUGCAUUUUU